AGUGAACGCUGGCGGUAGGCCUAACACAUGCAAGUCGAACGGCAGCACAGUAAGAGCUUGCUCUUACGGGUGGCGAGUGGCGGACGGGUGAGGAAUACAUCGGAAUCUACUUUUUCGUGGGGGAUAACGUAGGGAAACUUACGCUAAUACCGCAUACGACCUGGGUGAAAGCAGGGGAUCUUCGGACCUUGCGCGAUUGAAUGAGCCGAUGUCGGAUUAGCUAGUUGGCGGGGUAAAGGCCCACCAAGGCGACGAUCCGUAGCUGGUCUGAGAGGAUGAUCAGCCACACUGGAACUGAGACACGGUCCAGACUCCUACGGGAGGCAGCAGUGGGGAAUAUUGGACAAUGGGCGCAAGCCUGAUCCAGCCAUACCGCGUGGGUGAAGAAGGCCUUCGGGUUGUAAAGCCCUUUUGUUGGGAAAGAAAAGCAGCAGGUUAAUACCCCGCUGUUCUGACGGUACCCAAAGAAUAAGCACCGGCUAACUUCGUG
rnacentral:rRNA from 1 species